AUGCCAUUUGUUUCUUUCUACCCAAGGCGGAAGUUGUUGCAGGUGGUCUGGCGGAAGAGCAGGGAGGAGCUGAACCCGAGCCGCGACCGCUGCAGAUCGAACUCCAGCAGGUUGUCCUCCAUCAUGUGGCCCCCGACCACCACCGACGUCCGCGGGGCCGCGCCGCCGUCCACCACGCCAAGGCACAGCGCGCCGCCCUUGACGGCCACCAUCGAGUUGGCCCCGAACACCACCCACGACGCGGCCUCGCUCUGCAGCACCAGCUCGACGGUCGGCACGGCCGGGCCCACGCGCGUGCUCCCCACCUUGCUCCCGUCGUAG
rnacentral:rRNA from 1 species